GACGAACGCUGGCGGCGUGCUUAACACAUGCAAGUCGAACGGAAAGGCCCUGCUUUUGUGGGGUGCUCGAGUGGCGAACGGGUGAGUAACACGUGAGUAACCUGCCCUUGACUUCGGGAUAACUUUAGGAAACUGGGGCUAAUACCGGAUUGGUGUUCCUGCUGCCUGGUGGGGGUUGGAAAGUUUCGGCGGUUGGGGAUGGACUGCCGGCUUAUCAGCUCGUUGGUGAGGUAGUGGCUUACCAAGGCUUUGACGGGUAGCCGGCCUGCGAGGGUGACCGGCCACAAUGGGACUGAGAUACGGCCCAGACGCCUACGGGAGGCAGCAGUGGGGAAUAUUGCACAAUGGGCGGAAGCCAGAUACAACAACGCCGGGUGCGGGAUACCGGCCUUCGGGUUGUAAACCGCUUUCGCCUGUGACGAAGCGUGAGUGACGGUAAUGGGUAAAGAAGCACCGGCUAACUACGUG
rnacentral:rRNA from 1 species